UAAUUGAGGCACCUGUAUCUAGUUUGGGAAUUAACUGUAUUUCCAUGAGGAAACUGGCAGGGCACAGUGUCUCAUGCCUGUAAUCCCAGCACUUUGGGAGGCUGAGGUAGGAGGAUUGCUUGAGGCAGGAGUGCGAAAACAUCCUGGCCAACAUGUCAAGACCCUGAUGCAUGCCUGUAGUUCUAGCUACUUGGGAGGCUGAGGUGGGAGGCUAGCUUGAGCCCAGGAGGUCAAGACUACAGUGAGCUCUGAUUGUGACACGGCACAGCAGCCUGGGCAAGCGAACAAGACCCUGUCUCUAAAGAACAAAACAAAACACAUUGUGAGAUGGUGAAUAAGAUAGGAUUGUUCUUCAUUUCUCACAAAUGCCCUUCUAUUUUAAAUGCUUCCUAGUUUCAUUCUGUGUGACAGUGGGCAACCCUUUCUUUCUGGAUGAAACAUUUCAGGCCAUGGCACUCUGACUCAAACAUUCCCAUGUGGUAGGGAAUGUAAUUAAACAUUUUUAUUAUUUAUGUAACUUAUGAGACAAAAGUCUCAAAAGUUUAUUUUUUCUUGUAACUUUUCCUUGUCCUUGGGGUAUAUUCAAUAAUAGUUACUUGACUAAUAAAAUCUCAGAGUAAAACUCUUUAAAAAAUUGAGCUAGAUUCCCUGGAAACUUUCCACAACUAUUAAAUUUUAUUCCAAUGGUUUUUCUC
rnacentral:lncRNA from 1 species